rnacentral:tmRNA from 1 species
GGGGGCGCACCGGUUUCGACGGGGAUGGCGACCUCAAGGUUGCAGGCCGAGGCGCCGCGAGGCCUCGUAAAAACGCGGCAAACUGACAAUCGCCAACGAUUACGAAUACGCUCUGGCCGCUUAGCGCGGCCAGCGUUCGACCGGCCCACGUGCGAUAAGCCGGAUCCGAGCGUCGACACCAUCGGACUGGCCGCCCCCCGUUUCCGCCCGGGGGAAGGCGAGACAACGGCGGAAUGGCCUUGGGACGCCCGGCCGGAAGGCGCUCCCCGGGUGAGAUGGAUUCCGGCCUAAGCCUGUAGACGCCUUGAAUGAGACACUCUCGGACGGGGGUUCGACUCCCCCCGCCUCCACCA